rnacentral:rRNA from 1 species
GACGAACGCUGGCGGCGUGCUUAACACAUGCAAGUCGAACGGAAAGGCCCUGCUUUUGUGGGGCGCUCGAGUGGCGAACGGGUGAGUAACACGUGAGUAACCUGCCCUUGACUUUGGGAUAACUUCAGGAAACUGGGGCUAAUACCGGAUAGGAGCUCCUGCUGCAUGGUGGGGGUUGGAAAGUUUCGGCGGUUGGGGAUGGACUCGCGGCUUAUCAGCUUGUUGGUGGGGUAGUGGCUUACCAAGGCUUUGACGGGUAGCCGGCCUGAGAGGGUGACCGGCCACAUUGGGCCUGAGAUACGGCCCAGACUCCUACGGGAGGCAGCAGUGGGGAAUAUUGCACAAUGGGCGGAAGCCUGAUGCAGCAACGCCGCGUGCGGGAUGACGGCCUUCGGGUUGUAAACCGCUUUCGCCUGUGACGAAGCGUGAGUGACGGUAAUGGGUAAAGAAGCACCGGCUAACUACGUG